rnacentral:rRNA from 1 species
AGUGAAAAAAUGUGGUUUUUCAUUAAAGUGAACAGUACUGCUGGCUUUUCGUUAAAACUCCCAUUUAAAAACUCAAGAUGUGAGUUGGCACCUAUAACAUUUCUUAUAAAAUUGGAUGGGUGAGUAACGCGUAAGACAUGUCCUUGGGUGGGGAACAACAGCUGAAGAUAGCUGCUAAUACCCCAUAGGUUGAGGAGCAAAAUGAGGAAUCCACCCGAGGAGGGGUUCGCAUCUGAUUAGCUAGUUGGUGAGGUUACCAAUGCAAUGAUCAGUAGCUGGUCCGAGAGAAUGAUAAGCCAUACUGGGCCUAAUACACAGCCCAUACUCUUACGAGAGGUAACAGUGGGGGAUUUUCUGCAAUAGUCGAAAUCUUGACGGAGCAAUGCCGCGUAGAGUUAGAAGGCCUACUAGUCGUGAAACUUUUCUUUGUGGAGAAGAAGCAAUGACGGUAUUUGGGGAAUAAAUAUCGGCUAACUCAGUGCCAACAACCAUGAUAAUAUAGAGGAUGCAAGCGUUAUUCGAAAUGAUUGGGCGUAAAGUGUCUGUAAGUCUGCCGUCAAAUCCCAAGGCUCAUCCUUGGACAGGCAGUGGAAACUACCAAGGUGGAGUACGAUAAAGGCAAAGGGUAUUUCCGGUGGAGCAGUAAAAUGCGUAGAGAUUGGAAAGAAUACCAAACGGUUUGAGUUUACAAAUCAUAAACGACAAUGGUUGAAAAAACAACAACGCGAAAGCCCAUAUUUAUUCAUCU